rnacentral:rRNA from 1 species
AACGAACGCUGGCGGCAUGCCUAACACAUGCAAGUCGAACGAGACCUUCGGGUCUAGUGGCGCACGGGUGCGUAACGCGUGGGAACCUGCCCGUAGGUUCGGAAUAACUCCCCGAAAGGGGUGCUAAUACCGGAUAAUGUCUUCGGACCAAAGAUUUAUCGCCUUUGGAUGGGCCCGCGUUGGAUUAGCUAGUUGGUAGGGUAAAAGCCGACCAAGGCGACGAUCCAUAGCUGGUCUGAGAGGAUGCUCAGCCACACUGGGACUGAGACACGGCCCAGACUCCUACGGGAGGCAGCAGUGGGGAAUAUUGGACAAUGGGCGAAAGCCUGAUCCAGCAAUGCCGCGUGAGUGAUGAAGGCCUUAGGGUUGUAAAGCUCUUUUACCCGGGAUGAUAAUGACAGUACCGGGAGAAUAAGCUCCGGCUAACUCCGUG